GGACUCACUUGGUAACACAUAUACUAAAAUGGGAAUGAUUUGGAGAAGGCUAGCAUGGCCACUGCACAGGGACAAUACACAAAUUUAUGAAGGGUUCUAGAUUUUU